rnacentral:rRNA from 1 species
UUAGGAAUCUUCCACAAUGGGCGAAAGCCUGAUGGAGCGACGCCGCGUGAGGGAUGAAGGCCUUAGGGUUGUAAACCUCUAAAAGAGGGACGAUAAUGACGGUACCUCUUGAAUAGCACCGGCUAACUCCGUGCCAGCAGCCGCGGUAAUACGGAGGGUGCAAGCGUUAUCCGGAAUCACUGGGCGUAAAGGGCGCGUAGGCGGUCUGUUAAGUCCGAUGUUAAAUCCCGGGGCUCAACCCCGGAUAAGCGUUGGAUACUGGCGGGCUAGACGGUUGGAGAGGCGAGUGGAAUUACCAGUGUAGCGGUGGAAUGCGUAGAUACUGGUAGGAACACCAAUUUCGAAGGCAGCUCGCUGGACAACACGUGACGCUGAGGCGCGAAAGUGUGGGGAGCAAACC